GAACCACACCACCGUAGCGACGCAGCGGUGUACGGUGUACCGGGGCGGCCCGCGCGUAUUGUUCGUUACCGCGCGCGCGGUUGUUGUGUCACCACCUGACCGGCGAGCGAUGCGUUAAAGACGUCUCGCGACGACCGCUAAAAUACUCGACAGCGGCGGCGGCGGCGGCCCUCGACCGAUUCCGCGAACAUGUAAAACCUUCGUCCGGCCGCAGCAGCAGUAGUGUAAUAAUAUUAUAUAGUCUACUUAAAUCGUGCCGGGAAGAAAAUCCGUUUUUUUUUUUUUUUUCGGAUUUUGUUCCCUCGUACCCUUCUCGUCACGUCAUAUUUGUAC